rnacentral:misc_RNA from 1 species
GAUGAAGAACGCAGCGAAAUGCGAUAAGUAAUGUGAAUUGCAGAAUUCAGUGAAUCAUCGAAUCUUUGAACGCACAUUGCGCCCCCUGGUAUUCCGGGGGGCAUGCCUGUUCGAGCGUCAUUUCACCACUCAAGCCUCGCUUGGUAUUGGGCAACGCGGUCCGCCGCGUGCCUCAAAUCGACCGGCUGGGUCUUCUGUCCCCUAAGCGUUGUGGAAACUAUUCGCUAAAGGGUGUCCGGGAGGCUACGCCGUAAAACAACCCCAUUUCUAAGGUUGACCUCGGAUCAGGUAGGGAUACCCGCUGAACUUAAGCAUAUCAAUAAGCGGAGGA